GAUGAACGCUGGCGGCGUGCCUAAUACAUGCCAGUCGAGCGAACGGACGAGAAGCUUGCUUCUCUGAUGUUAGCGGCGGACGGGUGAGUAACACGUGGAUAACCUACCUAUAAGACUGGGAUAACUUCGGGAAACCGGAGCUAAUACCGGAUAAUAUUUUGAACCGCAUGGUUCAAAAGUGAAAGACGGUCUUGCUGUCACUUAUAGAUGGAUCCGCGCUGCAUUAGCUAGUUGGUAAGGUAACGGCUUACCAAGGCAACGAUGCAUAGCCGACCUGAGAGGGUGAUCGGCCACACUGGAACUGAGACACGGUCCAGACUCCUACGGGAGGCAGCAGUAGGGAAUCUUCCGCAAUGGGCAAAAGCCUGACGGAGCAACGCCGCGUGAGUGAUGAAGGUCUUCGGAUCGUAAAACUCUGUUAUUAGGGAAGAACAUAUGUGUAAGUAACUGUGCACAUCUUGACGGUACCUAAUCAGAAAGCCACGGCUAACUACGUG
rnacentral:rRNA from 1 species